rnacentral:rRNA from 1 species
UACGUAGGCAGCAAGCGUUGUUCGGAAUUACUGGGCGUAAAGAGUGUGUAGGCGGUUCUCUAAGUUCCGUGUGAAAUCUCCCGGCUUAACUGGGAGGGUGCGCGGAAGACUGGAGGGCUGGAGUAUGGGAGAGGAAAGCGGAAUUCCUGGUGUAGCGGUGAAAUGCGUAGAUAUCAGGAGGAACACCUGCGGUGUAGACAGCUUUCUGGACCAUCACUGACGCUGAGACACGAAAGCGUGGGUAGCAAACAGG